AACGCUAGCUACAGGCUUAACACAUGCAAGUCGAGGGGAAACGACAUCAAAAGCUUGCUUUUGAUGGGCGUCGACCGGCGCACGGGUGAGUAACGCGUAUCCAACCUGCCCACCACUUGGGGAUAACCUUGCGAAAGUAAGACUAAUACCCAAUGACGUCUCUAGAAGACAUCUGAAAGAGAUUAAAGAUUUAUCGGUGAUGGAUGGGGAUGCGUCUGAUUAGCUUGUUGGCGGGGUAACGGCCCACCAAGGCUACGAUCAGUAGGGGUUCUGAGAGGAAGGUCCCCCACAUUGGAACUGAGACACGGUCCAAACUCCUACGGGAGGCAGCAGUGAGGAAUAUUGGUCAAUGGACGAGAGUCUGAACCAGCCAAGUAGCGUGCAGGAUGACGGCCCUAUGGGUUGUAAACUGCUCUUAUAAGGGAAUAAAGUGAGUCUCGUGAGACUUUUUGCAUGUACCUUAUGAAUAAGGACCGGCUAAUUCCGUGCCAGCAGCCGCGGUAAUACGGAAGGUCCGGGCGUUAUCCGGAUUUAUUGGGUUUAAAGGGAGCGUAGGCCGGAGAUUAAGCGUGUUGUGAAAUGUAGAUGCUCAACAUCUGCACUGCAGCGCGAACUGGUUUCCUUGAGUACGCACAAAGUGGGCGGAAUUCGUGGUGUAGCGGUGAAAUGCUUAGAUAUCACGAAGAACUCCGAUUG
rnacentral:rRNA from 1 species